rnacentral:rRNA from 1 species
AUGAACGCUGGCGGCGUGCCUAAUACAUGCAAGUCGAGCGAACAGACGAGGAGCUUGCUCCUCUGACGUUAGCGGCGGACGGGUGAGUAACACGUGGAUAACCUACCUAUAAGACUGGGAUAACUUCGGGAAACCGGAGCUAAUACCGGAUAAUAUAUUGAACCGCAUGGUUCAAUAGUGAAAGACGGUUUUGCUGUCACUUAUAGAUGGAUCCGCGCCGCAUUAGCUAGUUGGUAAGGUAACGGCUUACCAAGGCGACGAUGCGUAGACGAACUGAGAGGGUGAUCGGCCACCCUGGAACUGAGACACGGUCCAGACUCCUGAGGGAGGCAGCAGUAGGGAAUCGUCCGCAAUGGGCGAAAGCCUGACGGAGCAACGCCGCGUGAGUGAUGAAGGUCUUCGGAUCGUAAAACCCUGUUAUUAGGGAAGAACAGAUGUGUAAGUAAAUAUGCACGUCUUGACGGUAACUAAUCAGAAAGCAACGGCUAACUACGUG